GAUGAAGAACGUAGCAAAAUGCGAUACUUGGUGUGAAUUGCAGAAUCCCGUGAACCAUCGAGUUUUUGAACGCAAGUUGCGCCCGAAGCCUUUUGGCCGAGGGCACGUCUGCCUGGGCGUCACGCAUCGCGUCGCCCCCCACAAUUCUCCGUAAAGGGAACAUGUGUUUUGGGGGCGGAUAUUGGUCUCCCGUGCUCAUGGCGUGGUUGGCCGAAAUAGGAGUCCUUUCGAUGGACGCACGAACUAGUGGUGGUUGUAAAAACCCUCGUCUUUUGUUUCGUGCUGUUGCUCGCAAGGUAAGCUCUUUAAAAACCCCAAUGUGUCGUCUCUUGACGACGCUUCGACCGCGACCCCAGGUCAGGCGGGACUACCCGCUGAGUUUAAGCAUAUCAAUAAGCGAGGA
rnacentral:misc_RNA from 1 species